GCGCCGGUGGUGUAAGGGGUAGCGUCGCUGUCCGGAAAGCAGAAGGUGCGGGUUCGCGUCCCGCUUGGCGCA
rnacentral:tRNA from 1 species